rnacentral:lncRNA from 1 species
UCCUUCUUCGAUACAAGACUUAACGGUGGCAUCAUCCUUCAAAAAGUUGCUCGUCCACUUUCAACAGGCCACCUUGAGCUUCGUAGCACCGAUCCAAACGAGACCCCCAAGGUGAGGUUCAAUUACUUUCAAGAACCAGAAGACUUGAGAAACUGUGUACAAGGCAUGAAAACCAUAAUCAACGUUGUAAACUCCAAAGCCUUCUCGAAAUUUCGUUACCGGACCAUCUCAACUCAACAGCUUCUGAAUGUGGUGGCAGCACUUCCCUUGAACCAGAGACCAAGACACUUUGAUACCGCUUCGUCUUUGGAACAAUUCUGCAUUGACGCUGUGAUGAUAUUUUGGCAUCAUCAUGGAGUAUGCCAAGUUGGGAAGGUUGUGGAUAAAGAUUACAGGGUCAUUGGCGUGGAUGGCCUUAGGGUUAUAGAUGCUUCUACCUUUAGUUUCUCACCUGGAACUGUUGCGGAAAGGAUCGAUUCGAGAACUCCGAUAUGACUACAAGUAAAUUGACCGAAACGAAAAAAUAAAGUGAACACAAGGAUUUACGUGGUUCGGCUUUAAUGCCUACGUCCACGGGCAGAGGCGAAAAGAAAUUUCACUAUAACAAGAUGAAGAUUACAAGUGUUUUACACUCAAGACACAACCCGAGAACCUCACAACUCUCAACCCCUAUAGAAAACCCGAAAGCUAAAAUCCUAGCUUUCAAAGAACAAGCUUUGCUCUCUCUUGGUUUGGGAUGAUGAAUAUGGCUAAUGAACCUCUCUAUUUAUAAGAGAGUUCAAGGACAUAAUUGUCCAAAACUUUGGCAAAGAUUUGUGGUUGAAAAUGGACACCAACAACCAUCCACUAAUCCACUACCACCAACAACCCACUACCAACAACAACAAUCCACUACCAAUUUUAAGCCAUUUCUUAACAAAUCUCCACCUUGGCUUGAAAUUUACCAAGCUGAACAUCAUAGUGAAUUCCUCGAACUGGAUCACCUCUUCCAAACGCCUCUCUGGCGCUAAUCAAUCCCGAAUACCUAUCAAGUCCAAGCAAUGCUUGAACUUAUAUGCAGGGAUCACCUUAGUUAACAUAUCUGCAGGAUUCUUCUCGGUAGCAACCUUGCUGAUAACAAUGUCACCUUGCGUAACAUGUUCCCGAACAAAAUGAUAUCUGACAUCAAUGUGUUUGGUCCGUUCAUGAAACAUCUGAUUUUUAGUCAGAUGUAUGGCACUCUGGCUAUCGCAAAAUACAACAGUGAAAUCCUGUUGUAAACCCAAACUGCUUACUAGACCUUUCAUCCACAAUGCUUCUUUCACUGCUUCUGCUAACGCCAUAUAUUCCGCCUCAGUCGUAGAUAAGGCUACGGUAGACUGUAACACAGCUUUCCAACUAAUGGCUCCUCCAGAAUAAGUGAAAACAUAACCCGUCAGAGAUCUUCUUUUGUCCAGAUCUCCAGCAUAAUCAGAGUCCACAUAGCCCGUGACACUGCUAGUGCAGUCACUCUGAUCAUAUACCAAGCAUAAAUCUGCAGAACCUCUCAAGUACCUGAGAAUCCAUUUCACGGCCUGCCAGUGUUCCUUGCCAGGACAACUCAUGUAUCUGCUGACCACACUAACUGCAUGUGAAAUGUCUGGACGAGUGCAAACCAUUGCAUACAUCACGCUUCCAACUGCACUCGAGUAUGGAAUGUGAGACAUUUGCUGCUUUUCUUCAUCAGAUUGUGGUGACAACUCUGCAGAGAGUUUGAAAUGUGUUGCCAACGGAGUACUCACAGUUUUCGCUUUAUCCAUGCCAAAGCGUUGAAGAACCUUUUCAAAGUAGUUCUUCUGCGACACACGAAGCUUGCCCGCCUUGCGAUCUCUGUGAAUAUCCAUGCCCAAAAUUUUCUUGGCAGCACCCAGAUCCUUCAUCUCGAACUCACCACUCAACUGCGACUUUAACUUGUUGAUUUCCGACAUGUUUUUGGAAGCAAUUAACAUGUCAUCAACAUACAGCAACAAAUAAAUGUGCGAACCAUCUGAGAGCUUCCGAUGAUAGACACAAGCAUCAUAGUCACAUCUUGUGUAACCAUGCUGAAUCAUGAAGCUAUCAAACCGCUUGUACCACUGCCUUGGGGAUUGUUUCAAUCCAUAUAAAGACUUCUUUAAUAGACAGACAUGGUCUUCUUUACCAGGAACUGUAAAACCCUCUGGUUGACGCAUGUAGAUUGUUUCCUCGAGCUCACCAUGCAAGAACGCCGUUUUUACGUCAAGCUGCUCAAGUUCUAGAUCAGACUUGGCCACCAUGGCAAGUAAUACACGAAUGGAAGAAUGCUUUACGACUGGGGAGAAAACUUCAUUGUAGUCAAUCCCCUCUUUCUGAGUGAAGCCUUUAGCAACCAAUCGUGCCUUGAAUCUAGUUGCUUCAACCCCUAGGAUGCCUUCCUUUUUCUUGAAGACCCAUUUGCAACCAACUAUCUUCUGGUUACUUGGCGGCUUAACCAACUCCCAAGUAUGGUUCUUGUGAAGAGAUUCUAUCUCCUCACUCAUAGCAAUUGCCCACUGUGCCGACUCAUCACACGUGACAGCCUCAUUAUAACUGGAAGGUUCUAUACCAAUGGACUCCGCCACACUGAGCGCGAAAGACACCAGAUUAGCGUAACGCGGAUUUGGUUUGAUUUGUCUCUUCGUUCUUCCAGUGGCAAUGCUAUAUGGUUUUUCUUGAGGUGACUCAUCUUCAUCGGAAUCUUGCACCUCAACUUGAUCAUCCUGGACUGAAGUACCUUCCGUAGGAAUUGGAGCGUCCACCUGACACUCCACCUGCUUCUCAACACCGUGAUCUCCCAUUCUAUCUGACUCCUCCUUUUCCCGGGAAUUUGUGGUGGAUCGAAGCAUGGAUGACUCAUCAAAAGUCACAUCUCUGCUGAUGAUGAACUUGGACGAAACCGGAUCAGGACACCACAACCUGUAUCCUUUCACCCCUUGGCCGUAUCCAAGAAAUAUGCAUUUCUUCGCCCUCGGUUUGAGUUUUCCCUCAUUUACAUGAGCAUACGCAGGGCAGCCAAACACUCUUAAACCAGAGUAAUCAGCAGGAGAACCAGACCAUACUUCCUCAGGAGUCUUCAGCUCAAUAGCUGUUGACGGAGAUCUGUUAACCAAAUAACAAGCAGUAUUAACAGCUUCAGCCCAAAAUUCUUCACCGAGCCCAGCAUUUGAUCGCAUGCAACGAGCUCGCUCCAAGAGAGUUCUAUUCAUGCGUUCUGCAACUCCAUUUUGUUGUGGUGUUCGACGAACAGUGCGGUGUCUCACUAUUCCUUCAUUUUUGCAGAACUCAUUGAAUUCACCUGAGCAAAACUCCAAGCCAUUAUCCGUCCGGAAUCGCUUGAUCUUCUUUCCUGUUUGAUUUUCGAUCAAAGCUUUAAAUUGCUUGAAGUUGAUGAGAACCUCAUACUUGCUCUUCAGAAAAUACACCCAAACCUUUCUCGAGUAAUCAUCGAUAAAGGUAAGCAGAUAUCUGUAACCACCUUUAGAAAUUGUCGGAGAAGGCCCCCAAAGGUCAGAAUGGAAGUAAUCCACUGUGCCUUUUGUCUUGUGAAUCCCAGUGCUGAACUUUACCCGAGUCUGCUUACCGAAGACGCAGUGCUCACAGAAAUUCAACUUUCCUGUACACUGCCCAGACAAUAAUCCUCGUUUGCUUAGCACCGAUAAGCCUCUCUCGCUCAUAUGCCCGAGCCGCAUAUGCCAUAACUUCGUGGUGUCAGAAUCUAGAUCAUCUGAUGAUGACACUUCCGCAACACCUGUAACCGAGGAACCAUCGAGGAAGUAAAGGCCCCGCUCCAAAUUACCACGUAUCACAGUCAAAGCACCCGAGAAUACCUUGAGAACUCCACCUUCAGCAGAGUACCGAAAGCCUUUCUUGUCCAACGUACUCAAAGAGAUCAAAUUUUUCUUCAUUUCUGGAAUGUGCCGAACAUCAGUUAGAGUUCUAACAAUACCGUCAAACAUCUUUAUACGAACUGUGCCAAUCCCCAUGACUUGACAUGCGUGGUCAUUUCCCAUUAGUACUGAACCAGAAUGCUUCUCGUAUGUUGAGAAUGCAUCUUUCGAAGUACUUAUAUGAAAUGUAGCUCCCGUAUCAAGAAUCCAUCUCCCACCAGCGUAAGAGUCGGAUACUGCAAGAACGAUCUCGGCAUCACUUGAAGAAUCUGCAUCAGCUACAUUCGCACGAUCAUUUUGUUGCUCCUGUGAUUCUGAUUUCUCCUUCCUUUUCGGACAAUCUACCUUCAUGUGCCCGUACUUCUUACAGUAGUAGCACUGUAUUCUCUUCUUGGACUGCGAUCUAGGAUGGCUUUUACUUGAACUUCCACCCUUUGCCUUGGAUCUUCCUCGAGCAACCAAGCCUUCGCCUUCAUUGUUUUCGACCACCUUACCAGUGAUUUUCUUCCUCAACUCACUGGAACUUAAGGCAUUUUUCACCUCCUCUAGAGUCAGGUCAUCACGACCGUACAUCAUUGUAUCAACAAAAUUCUCAUACGAGGGAGGCAAAGAACACAAAACAAUUAUUGCUUGGUCCUCAUCAUCGAUUUUGUUAUCGAUAUUAUUCAAAUCCAUGAUAAUGGAAUUGAAUUUAUCCAGGUGCUGGGAAACAGGUGUACCUUCCUCCAUCUUCAGGGCAUAGAGUCUUUGCUUGAGGUAGAGCCGGUUCGUCAAUGACUUCGUCAUGUACUUGCUCUCUAACCGGAGCCACAAACCGGACGCGGUUUUCUCAUCCGCUACUUCUCGUAGCACUUCAUCUCCUAGACAUAGCAGAAUAGCACUAUGUGCUCUUUCUAGCAUGUCAUCCUUUUGCUCUUCCGAAAGCGUGCUUGGUAAUUUAUCUUUACCAGACAAUGCUUUUAGCAAUCCUUGUUGAACCAGCACUGCCCGCAUCUUGAUGCGCCAUAAACUGAAACUAUUUUUCCCGGUAAAUUUCUCGACAUCAUACUUAGUCGAUGAAACACUUGUAGCCAUAAUUUGGAACCUUUGAAUGAAUGAUAAUAUUUUCUUCCUGAUGUGAAAGAUCAGACAAAGCUGCAGUCACAGGGCAAUUCAGAAAAUAUUAUCACUCCUUCAACUACGCUCUGAUACCAAUUUGUUGCGGAAAGGAUCGAUUCGAGAACUCCGAUAUGACUACAAGUAAAUUGACCGAAACGAAAAAAUAAAGUGAACACAAGGAUUUACGUGGUUCGGCUUUAAUGCCUACGUCCACGGGCAGAGGCGAAAAGAAAUUUCACUAUAACAAGAUGAAGAUUACAAGUGUUUUACACUCAAGACACAACCCGAGAACCUCACAACUCUCAACCCCUAUAGAAAACCCGAAAGCUAAAAUCCUAGCUUUCAAAGAACAAGCUUUGCUCUCUCUUGGUUUGGGAUGAUGAAUAUGGCUAAUGAACCUCUCUAUUUAUAAGAGAGUUCAAGGACAUAAUUGUCCAAAACUUUGGCAAAGAUUUGUGGUUGAAAAUGGACACCAACAACCAUCCACUAAUCCACUACCACCAACAACCCACUACCAACAACAACAAUCCACUACCAAUUUUAAGCCAUUUCUUAACAGGAACUAAUCCUCAGGCUACUGUCAUGAUGCUUGGAAGGUAUAAUUACAACUAUAAAUAUGACUGUAAUGUAUGUGGGGUGUUGACUUGAUCCAUUAUACCUUGAUUUGAAUUAUUCUUUUAUUAACUUUUGAUGCAGAGCCAUGGGAGUAAGAAUUGAGAAAGAUAGACGUUCCUAAAGAAGAUUUAAGAAUCAUAUCAAUGGGGGAGAGAGCUCAUUGAAGGGUUGGUUGGCUAUUGGCUCGUAUGUAUAAUAAAAGUAACUAAAUUUAUGUUAGAUUAACGAUGUGAACGAAAAAAAUAUUAUGUAACGAAUAUAAAAAAAAUCGCAUAAGAAUCGAUUGAUAAUUUGGAUACAAUUGUAAAAUUAAAUGUUUAUUAUACAUUAUGUUUCAAGUUUAAAUCACAUUAUGAUUAAUUUUUAUUAAUUUAUUAUAUUGAAAAAGACAAAAAUAUAUACCUUUAUUCUUUCAUUGAGUGCAAUCAAAUUUGAUAUGAUCCAGCUUUUUAGAUUCAUAGCAAAAUAAUGGAAUCCUUUUAAGCUUGAUUCCCCGUUGAUAAUGUUUUUCCUUGGAGGUCUUUUGAGUUUGUUGAAUUUCAUGGAUUUCUUUAUUUAUUUUUGCAAACAUUGUAACCUCCUCUUACUCUUCCUCCCCCUCAUUACUAGAGUCAUCCUCCUCUUGAAUGAUAGACUCAAAAGGAACCUUACUUUCUUUGGAGUUUCAUUGGUCUCUUGAGCAUUGUGAUUUAUCUUUAUUCCAUAGGUGAAUAGAGGUCCAGUGAACUCAUCAAGAGAAAGUGUGUCAAGGUCCUUUGACUCCUCUAUGGCCAUGACUUUAGCUUUUCAUGAUUUUGGGAGGAUAUUCAAUAUCUUUCUCACCAACUCAAGUACCUUGAGACCAUUAAUGAUAUCGAUGAAGCGGUUGGAUAUCUCCUUGAUUCCUUUAACCGGUUUUGCUUUGAAGGGCUCAUAAUCAAGGGUGAGAAGGUUACUCUUGGAUUCCUUAAUUCUAAUUGUACCUUCAUGAGUAAUUUCAAGUUUAUUCCAUUUCUCUUUGGUAUUAUCACAUAUAAGGAGGCUCUAUUAUAUUCAUUGGGACCAAUGACACAAAAUAGGGUGUGCAUAGCUUUAGCAUUUAAUUGUACCAUCUUAAUAUAAACUUUAUCCUAUUCAUCUUCCUUUUUGGGAUCUAUGACACGAUCAACUCUUUUCUUGGGGUUGGAUGAUCCAUUGGUGAUCACCCUCCAUUCUUAGUCAUUUGCUUGGAUGGACUACUUCAUUGGUGUCCUACAAUAAGAGUAGUUAGUGCCAUUGAAUAGAGGAUGUCUUAUGCUGGAAUGUCAUUUUCCUAACAUUGUUGAAUUUUACUUUAAGACCAUGAGACAAGUUUUUUGAUUCGUUGCUUCCAUCUUGAGCUUCUUGAGGAUCAUUUCUCUAUGUAGUAAUCUUGUCUUUAGACUUUUGGCUAUAUGAUCGUGCCACAGAAUAUGAUUAUUAAGUAGAGAAUUAGUAAAAAAAUAUUAAAAAUUAAAGUGGUUUGACGGCAAGUGUGAUAGAUCAAUUAUAAUAUUUUAAGUGUUACAAUAGAAUACUUAAAGCAUUCCAAUGAUCAAACUCAAGAGAGAUCGAGUGAUAAGAUGAAUAAUAAUGAUAAUGCAUGCAAUUAAUAAGUAUAACUAACUAUAAUUAAUUAACAAGUAUACUUUAAUUAGUGGUCAAGUGUUUGAUCCUUGUUCUGGGUAUGAAUCAACUUUAAAAUUUGUAACCAGUAUCUAUUUUACUGAUAGAAUGCUGUGAAUUAAUUACUGGACUCAUGUCAAUAGAUACUUUAACAAAAAAAAAAAAAAACCAUAACUAACUAAUGACUAAGUAUUAUACCAUGACAAAUCAUUAAAUUGGUAUUUGGAUAACAUGAUUGAGUUUAGUUGGGUGUAUAACGCAGUGACAUUGUAACUUCCGAUUCAACUCUCUACAUUUUUCAUUUUCAAUUAAAAAUAUUCAUUUAUGUAUUUUAAAAUUUAUUUUAUUAUUUAUGUUUAAUUAAUUAUAAAUAAUAUUACAAAAGGAAAUGAGAAAAGCGUGAAGGAAACCAAACAUGAUCUAUAGUUUCAUUAAAGCAUUAAAUUUUUUUUUAUAAUGAUUUAUUUACCUUCCAACUUUUACUAAAGAUAAUCAUUUUAACUAAUUAUUUAAUUUUUCAUCUCUUUUAAUCUUUAAAUAUUCAUUAUUUGUCAAAUCACUCCAAAAUAGAUGGAUGAUGUGGUAUGCUAUAGAUUGUCACGUGUAUGUCAUAUUAAUAAUUAAUUUUUAAAAAUAAAAAAAUAGUAAAAAAAUAUUUUUUAAAUUUUUAUGAUAUAUUUUAAUUUCUAAAAAUAAUUUUAUAUUUAUUUUAUUUUUUAAAAAUUUAAAAAAUAAUUAAUUGUUGCCAUAGAAUGCACGUAGAAAUCUUCUAUAAUUAAUAAUUUGAUACUCUUCCCCCACAUAAUUAAUAAGCCAUUGAUUAACUAACAUGUGGUUUGAGUGUGGUUUACGUCAUAUGCUUGGUUUGACUUUGGUUUGCGUCAUAUGCACAUUGUUUGUACUUUUUUUUCAAUAAAAUUUUAAUAUUUGACAUAAAUUUUUAAUUUUGUGCAUUUAUAAAAAUUAUAAAAAUUAAAUAAAUCCAAUAAUAAAUUUGAUACUCUUCCCCCAACACAUUAUUAAACCAUUUAUUAAUUAACGUCAUAUGUAAAUGUAUUGUUUAUAUUUUUUUAAAAUAAAUUUCAAUAUUUCCCAUGAAUUUUAAUUUUUGUGUAAUAAUUUUAUAUCUAAAUUUUUUAUUUUGAUCUAAUUGAGUGCAUUUAUAAAAAUUAAAAAAAUUAGAUAAAUCAAAUAAUUCUUUUUUUUUUCAAAAGAUCCAAUGUUAGUAUACACAAGAAGAUAGUAUCACAUAGUUUAUAGUGUUGAUAUUUUUAAAAAAUUACAUUAAAAUAAAAAUUGAUAAAUAGUUUUAAUAUUUAUUUUCUUACGAUGAUUGUUAAGUUGAUAUAUUAAUCCUCAAGGUCUGCGGAUAUAUAUUUAAGAGGGGGUCCCUAGUCAUCCCUUGUGCCCACAUUGUAAGUAAAGCUAAAUUUGGAAAUACAGGAUGGAUUUGGGAUCAAUGGGGUUCCUCAAAGCUUUGCUUGUCGCUGUUUAUGCUUUGCACCCCAACUUUUCCCAUGCUGAGACAGGUAAAGAUUUGAAAAUUAAUAGAAACAAACACUAGACUAAUGACUAAGAUAUAUCUCUCUUAUAAUAUAUAUAUAUGAUCCAUUAUUUUGCAGCUCCAAAUUACAGUUUCGUUCACGAAUCAACAAAAGCACCUCCGGUCUCAUACCACGACUAUAUUGUGGUCGGUGGAGGAGCUGCCGGCUGUCCCUUGGCCGCAACUCUAGCAGAAACCGCCAACGUUUUAGUCCUCGAAAGAGGAGGGUCUCCCUACCGCAACCCUGGUAAGACAGACAAAGGCAACUUCUUGCUCACUCUUUCAGAUCCCUCCCCCGAUUCAUAUGCUCAAAUAUUCGUUACUGAGGACGGAGUAUACAACCACCGAGCACGUGUACUUGGUGGUGGCACCGUCAUCAACGCCGGGUUUUACUCACACGCCGAAACCGAGUUCGUAAAGGAAUCUGGUUUGGAUGAAGCUUUGGUGAAUGAUGCAUAUCAGUGGGUUGAAAACAAGGUGGUUUUCAAGGCACCAUUGUUGCAAUGGCAAACCGCAGUGAGGGAUGGGUUGCUUGAAGCUGGGGUUUUACCAUACAACGGAUUUACAAAUGAACACAUCAAUGGGACUAAAAUUGGUUCAACCAUUUUCGACAUGAAUGAUCAUAGACAUAGUGCAGCUGACUUGCUUGAAUAUGCUGACCCAAAGAAUAUCAUAGUUUACUUGCAUGCCACGGUAACCAAGAUCCUUUUUCCAACACAAAGUAAGUUGCAUGAUCUUACAGCUUAAUAUGUAGCUUACUUGCUCUUAAUGAUCUUACAACUUAAUAUGUAACUUUUAGCUGUUGGAUCAGGAACUAGAGCUAUAGGGGUGAUAUAUGAGGAUGCAUUGGGAGAAAAGCACACGGCAUAUUUAACAAAUGAUUCCAAGAGUGAAAUAAUCGUAUCAGCAGGUGCCAUUGGAAGCUCACAAUUGUUGAUGUUGAGCGGCAUUGGGCCACGUUCUCAACUUGAGCCACUUGGUAUCAAGCUGGUGAUGGACCAACCUAUGGUUGGCCAAGGCAUAGCCGACAAUACAUUGAAUGGUCUUUUUAUUCCAUCCCCUAAUCCCGUUGAGCUCUCACUCCUUUCAACUGUGGGCAUAUCCCUAUUUGUUAACUAUAUUGAAGCUGGAAGUGGAUUGAAUUUGGCUCCUUCUUUUGGGUGGAUUUCCAAGUUUUUGCUCUCCAUCUCGGACCAGGUUUUUACCUACAAUUUCAUACCUCUUCAUAUGUGUUUUUUUGGGUAAACUAUAUUGUAGUCAUUUAAUUUAUUCAUCUAACUUUUAUAAAUUUUUGUUUUGGUCAUCGGAAAUAAAAAAUAUAAAAUAUAGCACCGUCAUUAGUUUUUUUUGUGGGGGGUUUAGUCAUUUCACGUUAAAUAGUUUUCUUAUUUUAAUCACUUGUGUUAAUUUAACUAAUGAUUUAUUGUACACCCAUUUUUGUCAACUAUUUUACUUUUUGAAGAAAAGAAAAUAUAAAUUUUUAAAGGGAAUUGUCGGGUUUUUACAAGAUAAAAUAAUUUUUUUUGAAUUAAUUUAAUUUUUUUUUCUAGUAAAAAACGAAACACUUGGGAUUUUACAUAAAAAGUAAUUUUUCUUUUCAAUUUAUUUUAUUUUCCACUUUUAAGAAUUACUUCUAGAUAUUUUUCAAAAGGGAAAAACAUAGGUUUUAUAGGUAAAUAUCUAGAUUUUUUUGAAAAGAAAUUGGUUUUUAUAAGGGAAAACCUAGGUUUUAUUCAGAAAAUUUGAGUUUCAUUUUCAUAGUUGAAGAACUUAAUUCCUUAUAAAAAUUAAUUUUUUUUCCCUUUUCUUUUUUAAAAAGUAAAAUAAUUCUAAAAACAGAGUGACAAAAACAAAAAUUUACUAAGUUGAACUCCUAAAGUAGGAGUAUUGUAACAUAGACGUUAACUAAAUUAAAAAAUAAUAUCUAGCGAAAGUAUCAAAAGGAAAACUUACAAAAAUGGGAUGUAGUUUACCAUUUUCCUUUUUGGUUAUGAUCAUACAAUUCACUAUAGUUUUUUAACAAUGGCAAUGGUUGUCGCAUGCAAAGACCACUAUUGGGUCCUUCUUCGAUACAAGACUUAACGGUGGCAUCAUCCUUCAAAAAGUUGCUCGUCCACUCUCAACAGGCCACCUUGAGCUUCGUAGCACCGAUCCAAACGAGACCCCCAAGGUGAGGUUCAAUUACUUUCAAGAACCAGAAGACUUGAGAAACUGUGUACAAGGCAUGAAAACCAUAAUCAACGUUGUGAACUCCAAAGCCUUCUCGAAAUUUCGUUACCAAACCAUCUCGACUCAACAGCUUCUGAAUGUGGUGGCAGCACUUCCCUUGAACCAGAGACCGAGACACAUUGAUACUGCUUCGUCUUUGGAACAAUUCUGCAAUGACACUGUGAUGACAUUUUGGCAUCAUCAUGGAGGAUGCCAAGUUGGGAAGGUUGUGGGUGAAGAUUACAAGGUCAUUGGCGUGGAUGGCCUUAGGGUUAUCGAUGCUUCUACCUUUAGUUUCACACCUGGAACUAAUCCUCAGGCUACUGUCAUGAUGCUUGGAAGGUAUAAUUACA